rnacentral:tRNA from 1 species
GCCCCGGUGGUGUAGGCCGGUCAAGGAGUAAACCUCCGCCGAAAUCAUACAGCCCUUUCGAGUUACUAACGGAGAAAGGCUGUGACGCGGGUUCGAAUCCCGCCCGGGGCA